rnacentral:rRNA from 1 species
GACGAACGCUGGCGGCGUGCUUAACACAUGCAAGUCGAACGGAAAGGCCCUGCUUUUGUGGGGUGCUCGAGUGGCGAACGGGUGAGUAACACGUGAGUAACCUGCCCUUGACUUUGGGAUAACUUCAGGAGGCUGGGGCUAAUACCGGAUAGGAGCUCCUGCUGCAUGGGGGGGGUUGGAAAGUUUCGGCGGUUGGGGAUGGACGCGCGGCUUAUCAGCUUGUUGGUGGGGUAGUGGCUUACCAAGGCUUUGACGGGUAGCCGGCCUGAGAGGGUGGCCGGCCACAUUGGGACUGCGAUACGGCCCAGAGUCCUACGUGGGGCAGAAGUGGGGAAUAUUGCACAAUGGGCGGAAGCCUGAUGCAGCAACGCCGCGUGCGGGAUGACGGCCUUCGGGUUGGAAACCGCUUUCGCCUGUGACGAAGCGUGAGUGACGGUAAUGGGUAAAGAAGCACCGGCUAACUACGUG